rnacentral:rRNA from 1 species
CCUAGCAAUCUAGCACCAAACCACCUGAACAUAUUAACCUCAGUUUAUUUUGGAAGUUAAGCAGAGUCAGGCCUGGUUAGAACUGAGGUGGGACACCAGCAGGGAAUACUGCAGAUCUCCAGGU